UACAGAGGUCUCAAGCGUUGUUCGGAUUCAUUGGGCGUAAAGGGUGCGUAGGCGGCGCGGUAAGUCGGGGGUGAAAUUUUUCGGCUUAACCGGGAAAGGUCGUCGGAUACUGCGUAACUAGAGGACGGUAGAGGCGUGUGGAAUUCCGGGUGUAGUGGUGAAAUGCGUAGAGAUCCGGAGGAACACCAGUGGCGAAGGCGACACGCUGGGCCGUACCUGACACUGAUGCGCGACAGCAUGGGGAGCAAACAGG
rnacentral:rRNA from 1 species